UGGAAAUACAAAAUGAGAACAGGACAGCACUCCCCUUGGUUAGGAUGGAAGAAGUCCUAAUGGACUUUUAACAGUGUUUAAGACUGCCGCUUACUUUGUGGCAUCUAAUGUAUAUC
rnacentral:ncRNA from 1 species